AAUAGCUGAUUGCACCAACAAAUAGUUGAUGCAAUAUUGACUCUGUCAAAUAAAAUUCUAGGUAGAAUUAUGAUAAUGACAUUGUCUGCCUAUAUGUCUUGACCAAAUUACGUGCCAGCAGUCGCGGUAAUACGUAGAAGACUAGUGUUAUUCAUCUUUAAUAGGUUUAAAGGGUACCUAGACGGUAAAUCAAGCCUUCACAGGGACUAAUUUACUAGAGUUACUUACGAGGGGGUAUUAAAGUACUGCAGGUGUAGAGAUGAAAUUCUGUCAUACCUCUUUUCAAAAGAAAAAUUAUGGCACAGGUAUAGGUGAAAGCAUCCCCUUAUGUGAUAACUGACGUUGAAGGACGAAGGCUUUGUGUCGCGAACAGGAUUAGAUACCCCAGUAGUCAAAGCAGAAAAUGAUGAAUGUCAUAGAUUAGAUAAAUAGUUUAUUCUAUAAAUGAAAAUGUAAGCAUUCCACCUCAAGAGUAAUUUGGCAACAUUGGAACUGAAAUCAUUAGACCGUUUCUGAAACCAGUAGUGAAGUAUGUUGUUUAAUUUGAUGAUCCGCAAAAAACCUUACCACAAUUUGAAUAUUUAUAUCUAUCUUUUUUUUUCGUAAAAAAAUAAAAAGGUAAUAUAUUUACAAGCGUUGCACGGCUGUCUUCAGUUAAUGUCGCGAGACUUUGGUUAGUUCCAUUAAAUUAACGUAAACCCUUACUUUAUUUUUAUAUGAAGUAGUUCCCCGCUAUAUUGGAUAUGAUAACAGGGACUAAGACAAGUC
rnacentral:rRNA from 1 species